CCAGAGUAGCAGACAGUCCUUCCCCCAAAACACUUCCCAUCUGAAUAAGCAGGAUAGGCAGAGGGAAGGGGUUAAGGGGUAGCCAGAUGGAUGACUCCAGAAAGUGCUAGAAAAGAUAGAGAGGCAUCAGCCCUGAUAUGGCAACAGGCUCCUGGGAUCAGUGGCAAAGAGCCCUGCAGCAGUAGAAGACCAAGGAGGGUGUACAAAAGGGAAAAGAACCUGAGGUGCUGAUUCGAUUCCGCCCCUGGCAGUGAAAGAAAAGUGCCUGUUUACUUUAAUUACCGAGCCAGAAACCAACUGAUUUAUGCUGUGUAAAUCUGAGGGACAAACUGAAAGGUGCUACAGAUGCUGGAAGGAAUGAACCAUGGAGGGAAGACACUUUGGGUGCACAGCUUCAUUGGGUGAAUCAGGCUUAGGGGAGAGAAUCAAGCCCUGAACAUCUCCUGCUAUCCAGCGGAGCAUAUGGCAGGCGCGGCUGCAGUUGGGACCACUGAGGAGAAAGGUGUCUCGUUUCCCAUCCUAGUACCAGUCUCUCCAGAGCCUGCUUAGCUUGGAGCUCACCGCCCAAGGUGUCAGGCUAAAAUGAUAGCCAUGCACAGCCCCGGAGGCUCUAAACCUGCUCUCUGUGCUAGAGUUUGUGGUGGUGAAUCUAGGUCACCUUUGCUGGGUCUGUGCCACUGCCCUGCUUCUGGGGAAGGCCUGAGCAUGGAGUUAACCCUUCACUUGCCGAAAACAGAUAAUAAAACACCCACAGCAAAAGUGAGAGAACUGCUCUGCAGCUCCCUGAUCCUCUCUCUAAUUCCGCAUCUCCGCUCUGCUAGUGAUAACGUAAUGGCCUGCAGCAAAAUCGAGCCCUUCCACUCCAGAGAUCUGAUCUCUGCCAGUUGAGCUAAAAGAGGAAUUCUAUUAGCUGGUACCAGUAGUAGACUCUUAUCCUCUAAAAGCAUAGCCAGUAGAGAAGGAUUAGCACACGCGUUUCCAAUGUAUAACACAAGUUAAAGGCAUCUCAAAAUGACACAUUUCCCUUCAGCUCCUGAAAGGCAGAGUAGCCCCAGGCGCUCUGGACACUGAAAGCUAAAUUGACUUAUGCUUGAUUAAUUGGCUGCUAGACUUUAACUGAGGGCUGCAGUUCUGGCUCCCAUGGCCUGAGAUCUCUGCCUACUGUAGCUGUAAUACUAUUUUUCCCCCCAAAAGGACAAUUCAAAGGGGAGCUGCAGGGUGAAAGGAAUUAAAGAAGUGGGGAAGGAACCUCGCCACCUUUGAUUCAUUUUAAUGAAGGUGCUGAAAUAAAUAAAUAAAUACAAUUGCGGGAAAGAGAGAGAGAGAGAGAGAGAUGACUUUCCGCUGGGAUGA